GUUCCAGUAGUUGAAUUACAACGGUGUUUCUUCAAGUCAUAGGUCUCGGUUAAAAUCCGAGCUGGAAUU
rnacentral:tRNA from 1 species